UCCAAUAGAAGCAUCAAACGGUCUUCUUCCCUGCUAGGCUGCUACACAACUGUGGGACAAGUUGUACAAGCCAAUACUGGAAGCUCGGUCCUCUAGCAGCAAUCAGAUCUUCAUAAUUCACUUAAUAAGAUGUUACUCCAAGUCACACCAUGCUUGAACAGGUGGAAUGUAGUACAAACUACUGCAAAAAGCCUUGAAGAUACACUAGGUACAGUUUUUUACAGCGAUUUGCACUCACCAGCUAGUAGGCUCCUUCACAUACAAUAGAAUCCAACACAUUCCAGGAAUACCCAAUCACAAGUCGAAUAACAGUUUAUACUACAACGGUGAAACGCCGACCAGUUUAGAUAGUUAUUUCAUGAAAGCAGAUAUAUAUUGGAAUAAUUCAAAUAAACUUUGCAACUUCAAAGCUUGAAUAGUCAUUUCAUGUAAACAGUUAUACACUGGAAUAAUUCAAAUAACCUUUGCAACUUAAGAGCUNNNNNNNNNNNNNNNNNNNNNNNNNNAUUUCAUAGUACAAGUGUAUAAUUUAAGUGUAGAAAAUUUAACACUAGAAAUUGAAAUAUGACAAAAAGAUGAAAGAAUAAAAUAACUCAAUGAUGAAAAUGUUGCACAUGUAUGUCUUUAAUAAAUUGAUUAAAACAUAUCCAAGACUUUAAUUGUAGCCAUAGCCUUCAAUUUUGAUCAAUACACUAUAAAAUAAUGUCAUGAAUUCAGGAAUGAGUUACUACAAGUAUAAGAGACUAUACAACUAUAGUCUAUAAGUAUAAAAGAGACUAUAAAAUGUUCAAUUCUAGUCUAGUAAUAAUAUUAUAACAACAUAACCAUGUACCUUGUUAUUGCAUUGUAUACAUCAAAGUGUUAUUAAUUGCUUUGUAUACAUCAAAGUGUCGAUAAUUGCUUUGCAGAAUUAGGCAUCGUAACGAGGAUAGUGUUAAUUAUAAUCCUAAUAUGUGUGGCGCAUAAAAGAGUAAAGAAAAAGAAGACAACAAGACAGACACAACAGAGGGGGAGAGGCGGGGCAAAUAAAUAAAAGAUAAUGUCCCCAAACCUAGCUCUCCCCUCUCNNN
rnacentral:lncRNA from 1 species